rnacentral:rRNA from 1 species
AGAGUUUGAUCCUGGCUCAGGACGAACGCUGGCGGCGUGCUUAACACAUGCAAGUCGAACGGGACUAUUAUGAAGGAGUUUUCGGACAACGGAAUAAUAGUUUAGUGGCGGACUGGUGAGUAACGCGUGAGGAACCUGCCUUUCAGAGGGGGACAACAGCUGGAAACGGCUGCUAAUACCGCAUGAUACAUUCGGGUGGCAUCACCUGAAUGCCAAAGAUUUAUCGCUGAAAGAUGGCCUCGCGUCUGAUUAGCUAGUUGGUGAGGUAACGGCCCACCAAGGCGACGAUCAGUAGCCGGACUGAGAGGUUGACCGGCCACAUUGGGACUGAGAUACGGCCCAGACUCCUACGGGAGGCAGCAGUGGGGAAUAUUGGGCAAUGAGCGAAAGCCUGACCCAGCAACGCCGCGUGAAGGAAGAAGGCUUUCGGGUUGUAAACUUCUUUGACAGGGGAAGAGUAGAAGACGGUACCCUGAAAGCAAGCCACGGCUAACUACGUGCCAGCAGCCGCGGUAA